rnacentral:rRNA from 1 species
UACGGAGGGUGCAAGCGUUGCUCGGAAUUACUGGGCGUAAAGCGCACGUAGGCGGAUUGUUAAGUCGGGGGUGAAAUCCUGGAGCUCAACUCCAGAACUGCCUUCGAUACUGGCGAUCUCGAGUUCGGGAGAGGUGAGUGGAACUGCGAGUGUAGAGGUGAAAUUCGUAGAUAUUCGCAAGAACACCAGUGGCGAAGGCGGCUCACUGGCCCGAUACUGACGCUGAGGUGCGAAAGCGUGGGGAGCAAACAGG